CGCAGGUGACAGCUGAACUCCGUUUAGCUUUGAUCCGUGUCAUACGAAUAGUGAAAUCUAACUGUUAUCAGCAGCAUCAUCAUUAUAAUAAACAAACCUAAUUGUUAUUAUUGAAAUUGCAACAGCCAUUGCCUGCAUUUGAGUGGUCGCGUGUAUUCGAACCAGCGACCAGCGCGAAAAGGACUCAAUUGCUGUGGGCAAAAUUGUACGUUGAUUUGUUGACAAGCUCUCAGGAUAUGCGGCAUUAUCCUGCCAGAAGAAAAACAUAAACAAAAGCCUCUUGCUGUACACUCGUCACCAUUUGGUUUGUGUCUGUGUCCUCACGUUGCGGUCUCUACGACAAUCCUGGCAAGCAUAUCCUGACCCCUGACCUCGCGCCCCUCUCCGGUUCGGUGUGUAGUUUAUGCGGUUUCUCCCUCCACCCUGCCCUGUGUGUUUUGUGUGUGCCGCUGCUGAUCGAAAGCGGCCGCCUUUGUUGCAUGGCAACACUUGGCUAAUCGAUGAGGUGCCGAAAAAAGGACACACACACACACACACGAGCGCCCAGUAAAACAAGGAUAACACAAGGAUAAUGACCCAAACCGAUUUGCUUACAAAUUGAAACCAUGCAAAACUAAAUUGCAAACUGCAAAAAUGUGAACAGCCACUGGUGAAAGGAGCCAAAGCAGCAAAAGAAAACCGAAACGAAUACAGAAUAAAACCAAAUAAUACAUAAUAAUAAUAAUAAUAAGAACGAAUAUUCCCCCAGUUGGCCACUGGCCAGUGAAUGCAGCGCCAAAGACUGUAUCCGCAAUAAUGUGAGGCAAUAAAAAACUAGUAACAGUCUAGUUGAGGGGGAGACAGCAAUAGCAACAGCAAAAGCAACAAUCAAACGGGCCACUGGGCGUAUGAUUAACAUUGAUAAUCGGCAAAGAAUUUUCAUUAUUUGCGCCGAGCGCCAUGGAACGUGAGAAUUUGAAACGUGAAAUGUGCCGAAGGCGUGAUGUUAUUACUAAUAAAUGCAUUAAAUAUGCUCAAACUACAACAACAACAACUGCAGCAACUACAACAACAACAGCAACAACAACGCCGCUAACGGCAAAUGGAACAACAACCACUGGGCCAAUACUGGAAGUGGCGCUUAGCAGCCCAACCACAAAGCCAUUAACGGAUAUGCAACAAAACCACCUGCUAAAGAUGCCAACUAAAACAGCAACAACAGCAACAGCGACAACGACAGCAACCAAAACA